rnacentral:rRNA from 1 species
UACGUAGGGCGCAAGCGUUGUCCGGAAUUAUUGGGCGUAAAGAGCUCGUAGGCGGUUUGUCGCGUCUGCUGUGAAAACUCGAGGCUCAACCUCGAGACGUCGAUGGAAACCAUCUGGCUAGAGUCCGGAAGAGGAGAGUGGAAUUCCUGGUGUAGCGGUGAAAUGCGCAGAUAUCAGGAAGAACACCCGUGGCGAAGGCGGCUCUCUGGUACGUGACUGACGCUGAGACGCGAAAGCGUGGGGAGCAAACAGG